UCUUCUUCUUCUUCUUUUUCUUAUUCUCUCUUUUCUUUUGAUAAUCGUUCAUACGUAAAAAAUUCUUUUUUUUUUUUGUUUUUGUUUUUGUCCUUGCUGUUAAUUACUUUAUUGAUCUUUGGGCCAUAUUCUUCUUCUUUUAUUUCCCUAGGAAUAUUCAGAGCUCUUUGGAUUUAUUCAUAAUGCUACUUCUUUCUUGAAACCUACUUUGUUGCUUGGUAUAUGACUUCUUGUUUAUUGUUUGUUUGAGUUUACAAAGAUAAUAUAGACUACAAAGUUCUUUUAAUCAUAUUCAAGUUGUUCAAUUCAAACUAACAUAAACUUUUUUGACUUUUUUUGGCUCCCUUUUGCAGUGGCUAAACAACAAUCAAACUACAAAGAAUUGAACAUUUUAUAUGAAAAAUAUAAAGAUCAAGUGCCACUGUUUUGUCAAAGUUGGGUACUCAUGAUCAUGUCAUUGGCAAGAUGGAACCAAAUUAUUGGUGCUUGGAUGGAUGAGUUGGAUGAUGGUUUUAUAAAGAUGUACUUUGAUGGUAUUUUUUGUACGAAUGAUUGAGAUAAUUUUUAUGCACUAUUUCCCCAUUUCCGUAUAAUGUUUUUAUGGAUGUGUUUGAUUACAAUAUAUUGAAUAUGUAAAAAUUGUGAUCUUGUGUCGUGCUA